UACGGAGGUGGCAAGCGUUACUCGGAUUCAUUGGGUGUAAAGGGCAGGUAGGCGGCCUGGUAAGUCCCGGCUGAAAACUGUCAGCUCAACUGACAGACGCGUCGGGAUACUGCUGGGCUCGAGUGUGGCAGAGGAGAGCGGAAUUCCCGGUGUAAGGGUGAAAUCUGUAGAGAUCGGGAGGAACACCAGUGGCGUAAGCGGCUCUCUGGUCCACCACUGACGCUGAGAUGCGAAAGCGUGGGGAGCAGACAGG
rnacentral:rRNA from 1 species